AGAGUUUGAUCCUGGCUCAGGAUGAACGCUGGCGGCAGGCUUAAUACAUGCAAGUCGAACGGUAACGACCGGUAGCAAUACUGGGGCGACGAGUGGCGCACGGGUGCGUAACGCGUAUGCAACCUACCCUCAACCGGGGCAUAACGCCGAGAAAUUGGCGCUAAUAUCCCAUGUGUAUAUGGAGUGGCAUCUCUUCAUAUAUAAAGAUCCGUUGGUUAAGGAUGGGCAUGCGUAACAUUAGCUAGUUGGCGGGGUAACGGCCCACCAAGGCGACGAUGUUUAGGGGUUCUGAGAGGAUUCACCCCCACACUGGAACUGAGACACGGUCCAGACUCCUACGGGAGGCAGCAGUAGGGAAUAUUGGGCAAUGGAGGCAACUCUGACCCAGCCAUGCCGCGUGAAGGAAGACGGCCCUAUGGGUUGUAAACUUCUUUUGCCGCAGAGUAACCGCGGGGACGUGUCCCUGCCUGAGAGUAUGCGGCGAAUAAGUAUCGGCUAACUCCGUGCCAGCAGCCGCGGUAAUACGGGGGAUACGAGCGUUAUCCGGAUUUAUUGGGUUUAAAGGGUGCGCAGGCGGACCGUUAAGUCAGGGGUGAAAAGUUGGGGCUCAACUCCAAUCGUGCCUUUGAUACUGGCGGACUAGAGUGCAGGGGACGUGACUGGAAUGUGAUGUGUAGCGGUGAAAUGCUUAGAUAUGUCACAGAACGCCGAUCGUGAAGACAGGUCACGAAUCUGCAACUGACGCUCAUGCACGAAAGCGUGGGGAUCAAACAGGAUUAGAUACCCUGGCAGUCCACGCUGUAAAC
rnacentral:rRNA from 1 species